UAACAAUGGUGGUCCUAGCAUGCCAAGUGUGAAUCCUGCAGGCCAGUGAACCAUGUAUGUUGUUAAUGUGAGUUUCAAUGUGUUUUUUUUUGUUUGUUUGUUUUUUGGCAAUGAUGAAACUAACAAGUGCAAUUCUAGAUCAUGUUUUUAUGCCACAAUUAAUGUGCUAAUUUCAUAAUAUGGGUGGGCCUUUUUAUCUGAAUAAAUAUUUUGUUUGCUCAAUGUGUGAUUGUAUGUGAAUGUGUUUGUCUUUGCAUGAUUGUCUGAAUUUGUCUUUGAAUAAGUGUUUGUUCUUGUGCAUGAAUAUGCAUUUGUCUCUGUGUUGCUUUGUGCAUAAAAGUUGGUGUCACUGCCUGAAUGUUUUUAUGUAUUUAUGUAAAUCAAUCUGCAGGCUUGUCU